GACGAACGCUGGCGGCGCGCCUAACACAUGCAAGUCGAACGAGAGAGAGGGAGCUUGCUUCCUUGAUCGAGUGGCGAACGGGUGAGUAACGCGUGAGGAACCUGCCUCAAAGAGGGGGACAACAGUUGGAAACGACUGCUAAUACCGCAUAAGCCCACGACCCGGCAUCGGGAAGAGGGAAAAGGAGCAAUCCGCUUUGAGAUGGCCUCGCGUCCGAUUAGCUAGUUGGUGAGGUAACGGCCCACCAAGGCGACGAUCGGUAGCCGGACUGAGAGGUUGAACGGCCACAUUGGGACUGAGACACGGCCCAGACUCCUACGGGAGGCAGCAGUGGGGAAUAUUGCACAAUGGGGGAAACCCUGAUGCAGCGACGCCGCGUGGAGGAAGAAGGUCUUCGGAUUGUAAACUCCUGUUGUUGAGGAAGAUAAUGACGGUACUCAACAAGGAAGUGAC
rnacentral:rRNA from 1 species